CGCGGGGUGGAGCAGUUGGCAGCUCGUUGGGCUCAUAACCCAAAGGUCACAGGUUCGAGUCCUGUCCCCGCUAC
rnacentral:tRNA from 1 species